CGAUCUUCUUCGGAAGAGAGCGGCGGACGGGUGAGUAACGCGUGGGUAACCUGCCUCAUACACAUGGAUAACAUACCGAAAGGUAUGCUAAUACAAGAUGAUAUAAGAGAUUCGCAUGGAUUUCUUAUCAAAGCUCCGGCGGUAUGAGAUGGACCCGCGUCUGAUUAGCUAGUUGGUAAGGUAAUGGCUUACCAAGGCGACGAUCAGUAGCCGACCUGAGAGGGUGAUCGGCCACAUUGGAACUGAGACACGGUCCAAACUCC
rnacentral:rRNA from 1 species